GGAAGAAGAGCGAAGAGAAUAGUUGCACAAACGCGAACAGUCCUGAUAUUGGAGAACCCACUCUCCUCCCCCGGUUAAAUAACCAAAAAAAAAAAAAAAAGAAGAAGUCCCUAAGCAAGUUCACAUUUUACUCUCCCCACACGUCCUGUGAGGGCUUCAGGAAGGCACUAUUCCGUUGAAAAAACAGGCUACUUGGCUGACCGAUCUCUCAAUUCCUGUUCAGAGGCGACACGGACAACUCCUCAACAAAAGAGUCUCUGGUUAGAAUAUCACGGACUUUCUCCACGCCCAGGUGUCGAGUCACAUGGUAAUUUCCAGGUGUGUGUGCGUCUCUGUGUGUGUGUGUGUGUCUCCUAGUAGCAACACACCUGUGGGAUCCGCUCAUGCGUUUGCCUUGACUGUCAAGGAACCGGGAGUACAGAGGGAGGAAGGGAAAAGAGGGAGGGAGGGAGAGAGAGAGAGUCAGAAGCGCGCACUGGAGGAGAGUCGACGCGACCGGGUACGGAGGGGGGAUUAUUCCCCUCCCAGUCCACACUCACCGCCGGUAUACUGUGCACAUAACAAGCUGUGAAGGUUGCCAGAUAUACCGUAGUGGCAAAUCUAAAGAUGCGGAGAUAACAGAUGGAGCAGUUCACAGACACAGGAAACUGUCAUGGUGGUGAAUGAUUAAGGUGUGAAGAAAGACUCAACGGGGAGACAGAGGAAGGUUAUUUAAAGCUUUGCCCAGCUCAUCCUGUAUUGUCCAGGUGGCCCCACUCUCAAAGAGAACAGAGGGACUCUCAGCAUCAAUAAAUGUCCUUAACCAGGCUGAUGUGAUGUAGCCCAGAUUACACAAUGGCCUGUGUACAUCCAGCUACACUUAUGUCCCUGCGAUUGAUGGAUCAGGGGGAAAAUAGCUCUCAGCAUGUUGAAGACUAUGGACUGCACACUGAGCCCCUUUUGGAUGGCAUGGUCAAGUCUAAGCCCUGCAGUGAGGGAACACCAAGCCAGAUCUCAUUUAUGGCAUGGCCCAGGUGAUUACAAAACCCAC